ACAGUCUGCAGUUUCAAGCUGAAAAGACAAAACAAGCAACAGGUCAGAUAUGGAGGAGGCAGUAAGUGGACAACAUUUGAAAAAACUCUGGAACAUCAUCAUCAGUAAUGAUAAAAGCCUAGACAGCUUCAGCUCGAUGCACCGACACCACCGCCAUCAUUAGACACACCUGGAUGGAUUUGUGAAUAUCAACAGAUCAUUGAUUUUACUGCUGACAGCUGCUACUUACAUUUUCAGAUCUGUAAUUCACAUGACUUGGACAUUUUACAACCUGAUUGCUUUCAAGUUCAAAUUAUCUUCAUCAAAAGUAAAGAUUCCAGAGUUAAACCAGCGUUCAGUGACUGAUCAAUAAACAACAAAUGACUGUGCGGUUAAGAUUGAAA